CGUGCCUUAUGCAUAUUCAACUGGGGUAUAUAAACAGGCAGUAACAUUAUAAAUCGCGUGCUAUUUUGAAAUGCUGCGGGCAGGAAGUGCACGGGGAGCGGGAGAGACGCUCGAGUCGAGGCUGAGGGGAUCCUGGCGUUACAAUUGAGUUUAGGUUUUGAAAGUAAUUUUUGUCAUUUCUUUUAUUUGUCUUUGUCACGUUAGCUCUGAUUUAUUCAUCUAUUUGUUCGACCAAUAUGACGAAGAAAGUCUGAUCUGAAGCUCUUCAAUGUUUGACGACUAAGGACACUUUGCAAUAACUUUACAUGUGACAGUAGCCAUUGACUUUAAAUUAAUCACAGAAGAUCACAGUUCCAGCUAAAAAUCUUUAUACUGUUCGACUGAAGAAAAAAGUCACCUUGGAUGGCCUGAUGGAUAACCAGACAGAUGAUUGAGGAGCAGCUCACCAUGGCGAUGUUCAUUAUUUGGAAGGAGGGGGAGAACUUCAUGAACCAUCUGCUGACAUCGAGGGAGUUAAAGUUUUGAAUCAACUUACUUCAGUUACAUCAGCUUGUGCCCUGAUAUACAUCAUCAACCUGGGCUGCGUUUCCCAAAAGCAUCGUAAGCCUAAGUUGAUCGUAGCUCCAUUGGUGGCAAUGGAGCUACGAUCAACUUAGGCUAACGAUGCUUUUGGGAAACGCUACCCUGGCUUGUCCGAAACCCCUUUGAUUUACUUUGUGUGAGUAUGUUAGAGCUGCAUUAAUCGUAACAAGAUCACAAUCUCGAUUCAAACACCCACACGAUCCUACUUUAUUAAUGACAAAGAUUCGAUUCAAUAAUUAAAUUCAAUAAUUCAAUUCGAUUCAAUAAUUCAUUCAAAUAAAUUAAACAUUUUCUGGCAAUUAGAGUCCAGUAAUUAAUAUUUUGCCAGAACUAGUAAAUUAAACGUUAUUUUUAGUUGUCUAUUUAGAAUCGUGGGAGAAUUGCGAUCUCUAUUUGAAACCAAAAAAUCAUGAAUCUCAUUUUAUCCAGAAUCCUGCAGCUCUAGUAUAUGUCUAGUACAAAAUGUGUAGUUGUAUGAAUGUCCAGUUGUGUUGUUUGAGAAUUGCUUUGAUUUGUGCAAGGGUAAUCACCUUUAAAGGAUUAGUUUACCCAAAAAUGAAAAUUCUGUCAUUAAUUACUCACCCUCAUGUUGUUCCACAUCCGUAAGACCUUUGUUCAUCUUCAGAACACAAAUUAAGAUAUUUUUGAUGAAGUUCAUAAAAUUGAGGUUAAACCACUGGAAUCACAUGGAAUACUUCAGUGAUGUCAUUCCUACCUUUCUGUGCCUUGGAGUGGUAGUUGUGUUGGAUCUCAUUGGAGGGACAGAAACCUCUCAGACCUCAUCAAAAAGAUCUUAAUUUGUUUUGAGUUCAGAAAAAGCAUACGCAUAAAAUACAAAGUAUAGUUUGGGCUUUACACACAGUAAUGAAUGUUUAAAAAACAAAACAAAAAAAGUAUUGGGUAAAAUCAUCCCCCAUGUUAUGUUAACCUAAUGAUGUUAUUUUGUUGAAAGGCCUACUGUUGGAAGCAGCUAUUCUGCUCUUGCCUGCACUGUUCAAGGUGGACCUGGGGUUGCUGUUUGACAUUGAGGGCCAUGCUCAGACCAGCCGUCCUGUCAUCCCAACACCUAAGAUAAAGGCUGCAAAGAGGAUCAUCCCAUGCAGUAUGACCACAUUGGGUUCAGAUUGGAUGGCCAGUUAAUCACAGUGGAGAGUGAGGACAUCUUGAUGGCAUUGGGCCUCCUUCUGUGUGUAUAUUUUGCGUUUGGAAUCGAAUCGAAUCCAGUAUCCUAAAGGACUGAAAAAGACACUGACCUUUUUAAAGUGUUGUUUUGAAAUUGAAGGAUGCAUUCGGACUUCCUGUUACUGUAAAAUGAGUGUACAACUCAAUCUGUGAGUAGACUUUCGGAGUCAAUAUUCUCUCUUGCUCCCUUUCGUACGGUUUUAGUUCCAGUUUCUAUAUUGUUUUUGAAAUCCUGAAGGACUUACAAAAAUGUUAGUGCGCUGUUGACAGUGAAAGAUACUGCAGGACUUCAGAGCAUAACUCAGUAUGCAAAAACAGGACUAUUGUCUACAAAAAUGUACAUGUUUCAAGCUUGUUGGAUUAUUUUGUAUGUGUAUAAAAGGGGAGUAUAAUGUGACGUUGUACAUGUGUAUUCCCUGACUUGUCAGCACUGAGUUUAUUUGCUGCUGAAAGAAAUAAAUUAAAAGGUUUUGAAAGUG